UUAUAAGAUUUUUUUAUUCUGCUCAGGACGAACGCUGGCGGCGUGCCUAAUACAUGCAAGUCGUACGCUUCUUUUUCCACCGGAGCUUGCUCCACCGGAAAAAGAGGAGUGGCGAACGGGUGAGUAACACGUGGGUAACCUGCCCAUCAGAAGGGGAUAACACUUGGAAACAGGUGCUAAUACCGUAUAACAAUCGAAACCGCAUGGUUUUGAUUUGAAAGGCGCUUUCGGGUGUCGCUGAUGGAUGGACCCGCGGUGCAUUAGCUAGUUGGUGAGGUAACGGCUCACCAAGGCCACGAUGCAUAGCCGACCUGAGAGGGUGAUCGGCCACAUUGGGACUGAGACACGGCCCAAACUCCUACGGGAGGCAGCAGUAGGGAAUCUUCGGCAAUGGACGAAAGUCUGACCGAGCAACGCCGCGUGAGUGAAGAAGGUUUUCGGAUCGUAAAACUCUGUUGUUAGAGAAGAAUAAGGAUGAGAGUAACUGUUCAUCCCUUGACGGUAUCUAACCAGAAAGCCACGGCUAACUACGUGCCAGCAGCCGCGGUAAUACGUAGGUGGCAAGCGUUGUCCGGAUUUAUUGGGCGUAAAGCGAGCGCAGGCGGUUUCUUAAGUCUGAUGUGAAAGCCCCCGGCUCAACCGGGGAGGGUCAUUGGAAACUGGGAGACUUGAGUGCAGAAGAGGAGAGUGGAAUUCCAUGUGUAGCGGUGAAAUGCGUAGAUAUAUGGAGGAACACCAGUGGCGAAGGCGGCUCUCUGGUCUGUAACUGACGCUGAGGCUCGAAAGCGUGGGGAGCAAACAGGAUUAGAUACCCUGGUAGUCCACGCCGUAAACGAUGAGUGCUAAGUGUUGGAGGGUUUCCGCCCUUCAGUGCUGCAGCUAACGCAUUAAGCACUCC
rnacentral:rRNA from 1 species